ensembl:snRNA U6 U6 spliceosomal RNA
GUGCUCGCUUUGGCAGCACAUAUUACUAAAACUGGAAUGAUACAGAGAUUAGCAUGGCCCCUAUGCAAGGAUGACAUGCAAAUUUGUGAAGCGUUCCAUAUUAAA